UACGUAGGCAGCAAGCGUUGUUCGGAUUUACUGGGCGUAAAGGGAGCGUAGGUGGUUAGGUAAGCCCUCCGGGAAAUCUUCAGGCUUAACCUGAAAAGGUCGGGGGGGACUGCCUAGCUAGAGGGCGGGAGAGGAGCGCGGAAUUCCCGGUGUAGCGGUGAAAUGCGUAGAGAUCGGGAGGAAGGCCGGUGGCGAAGGCGGCGCUCUGGAACGUUUCUGACACUGAGGCUCGAAAGCGUGGGGAGCAAACAGG
rnacentral:rRNA from 1 species